CCCGUUGGCAGAACGACCCGCGAACCGUUAACAAAAACACAACGGGGGGGUGAGGACGCAUCCGUGCCCCGAGCCCCUUCCGYGCCCUUGCGCUCGUGACCCAGCCACGCCUCGCCUCACUCGGCGGGCGAUGCGCCGAGUCCCGUCGCUCGUGGCCAAACAACGAACCCCCGACGCGAGUCGCGUCAAGGAAACRAAAUUUUAAAAGAGCACGUCCSGUGCSGCCGACCCGUUCGCGGUGUUCGUGCGCGCAGCGGCGUGGCAUCUUUCNUCGCGAAAACACGAAACGACUCUCGGCAACGGAUAUCUCGGCUCUCGCAUCGAUGAAGAACGUAGCGAAAUGCGAUACUUGGUGUGAAUUGCAGAAUCCCGUGAACCAUCGAGUCUUUGAACGCAAGUUGCGCCCCAAGCCAUUAGGCCGAGGGCACGUCUGCCUGGGUGUCACGCAUCGUCGCCCCCUCCGACCCUCGGCCCACCGGGCUAAGGGCKAGGCGGGGGCGGAAAAUGGCCUCCCGUGCGCUCCCCGCUCGCGGUUGGCUUAAAAUCGGGUCCUCGGCAGAGACAGCGCSGCGACGAUCGGUGGUGACGCUUCGAGCGCUCCUCGCAUACGGUCGCGCGCGCUUCCUUCCGUCGGGACCCAUCGAGACCCUUCGCGCGUCGCUGGAACGACGCUCGCAUCGCGACCCCAGGUCAGGCGGGAUCACCC
rnacentral:rRNA from 1 species